rnacentral:rRNA from 1 species
CCUACGGGAGGCAGCAGUAGGGAAUCUUCCACAAUGGGCGCAAGCCUGAUGGAGCAACACCGCGUGAGUGAAGAAGGGUUUCGGCUCGUAAAGCUCUGUUGUUGGAGAAGACCGUGCGUGAGAGUAACUGUUCACGCAGUGACGGUAUCCAACCAGAAAGUCACGGCUAACUACGUGCCAGCAGCCGCGGUAAUACGUAGGUGGCAAGCGUUUUCCGGAUUUAUUGGGCGUAAAGCGAGCGCAGGCGGUUGCUUAGGUCUGAUGUGAAAGCCUUCGGCUUAACCGAAGAAGUGCAUCGGAAAUCGGGCAACUUGAGUGCAGAAGAGGACAGUGGAAUUCCAUGUGUAGCGGUGGAAUGCGUAGAUAGAUGGAAGAACACCAGUGGCGAAGGCGGCUGUCUGGUCUGCAACUGACGCUGAGGCUCGAAAGCAUGGGUAGCGAACAGGAUUAGAUACCCCAGUAGUC